UUGUCCUUAGUUACCAGCACGUUAUGGUGGGCACUCUAAGGAGACUGCCGGUGACAAACCGGAGGAAGGUGGGGAUGACGUCAAGUCAUCAUGGCCCUUACGGCCUGGGCUACACACGUGCUACAAUGGUCGGUACAAAGGGUUGCCAAGCCGCGAGGUGGAGCUAAUCCCAUAAAACCGAUCGUAGUCCGGAUCGCAGCCUGCAACUCGACUGCGUGAAGUCGGAAUCGCUAGUAAUCGUGAAUCAGAAUGUCACGGUGAAUACGUUCCCGGGCCUU
rnacentral:rRNA from 1 species